GACGAACCGUGCGAACGUUGUUCGGAAUCACUGGGCUUAAAGGGCGCGUAGGCGGACUGCCAAGUCCGGGGUGAAAGCCUCCGGCUUAACCGGAGAAUUGCCUGGGAUACUGGUGGUCUUGAGGGAGGUAGGGGCACGCGGAACUUCCGGUGGAGCGGUGAAAUGCGUAGAGAUCGGGAGGAACACCUGUGGCGAAGGCGGCCGGCUGGGGGUACCCUGACGCUGAGGCGCGACAGCGUGGGGAGCGAACCGG
rnacentral:rRNA from 1 species